rnacentral:misc_RNA from 1 species
GAUGAAGAACGCAGCGAAAUGCGAUAAGUAGUGUGAAUUGCAGAAUUCAGUGAAUCAUCGAAUCUUUGAACGCACAUUGCGCCCUUUGGUAUUCCUUAGGGCAUGCCUGUUCGAGCGUCAUUUCAACCCUCAAGCCCUAGGCUUGCGUUGGAGCCCUGCGGCUGCCGCAGGCCCCUAAAAGCAGUGGCGGGCUCGCUAUCACACCGAGUGCAGUAGAUUACUCUUCGCUCAGGGCGUGUGGCGGGUUCCAGCCGUGAAACCCCCUACUUCUCAAGGUUGACCUCGGAUCAGGUAGGAAUACCCGCUGAACUUAAGCAUAUCAAUAAGCGGAGGA